GGUUGGGCCUCGCACGGAUAAUCUUUGUGAACCCCGUCAGGUCCGGAAGGAAGCAGCGGCAGCGAAGUAUUGUCGCGUUGCGAAUCAGUCCAGCUCAG
rnacentral:SRP_RNA from 1 species